rnacentral:rRNA from 1 species
AAAUUGAAGAGUUUGAUCAUGGCUCAGAUUGAACGCUGGCGGCAGGCCUAACACAUGCAAGUCGAACGGUAGCACAGAGAGCUUGCUCUCGGGUGACGAGUGGCGGACGGGUGAGUAAUGUCUGGGAAACUGCCUGAUGGAGGGGGAUAACUACUGGAAACGGUGGCUAAUACCGCAUAACGUCGCAAGACCAAAGAGGGGGACCUUCGGGCCUCUUGCCAUCAGAUGUGCCCAGAUGGGAUUAGCUAGUUGGUGAGGUAACGGCUCACCAAGGCGACGAUCCCUAGCUGGUCUGAGAGGAUGACCAGCCACACUGGAACUGAGACACGGUCCAGACUCCUACGGGAGGCAGCAGUGGGGAAUAUUGCACAAUGGGCGCAAGCCUGAUGCAGCCAUGCCGCGUGUAUGAAGAAGGCCUUCGGGUUGUAAAGUACUUUCAGCGGGGAGGAAGGUGUUGUGGUUAAUAACCACAGCAAUUGACGUUACCCGCAGAAGAAGCACCGGCUAACUCCGUGCCAGCAGCCGCGGUAAUACGGAGGGUGCAAGCGUUAAUCGGAAUUACUGGGCGUAAAGCGCACGCAGGCGGUCUGUCAAGUCGGAUGUGAAAUCCCCGGGCUCAACCUGGGAACUGCAUUCGAAACUGGCAGGCUUGAGUCUUGUAGAGGGGGGUAGAAUUCCAGGUGUAGCGGUGAAAUGCGUAGAGAUCUGGAGGAAUACCGGUGGCGAAGGCGGCCCCCUGGACAAAGACUGACGCUCAGGUGCGAAAGCGUGGGGAGCAAACAGGAUUAGAUACCCUGGUAGUCCACGCCGUAAACGAUGUCUACUUGGAGGUUGUGCCCUUGAGGCGUGGCUUCCGGAGCUAACGCGUUAAGUAGACCGCCUGGGGAGUACGGCCGCAAGGUUAAAACUCAAAUGAAUUGACGGGGGCCCGCACAAGCGGUGGAGCAUGUGGUUUAAUUCGAUGCAACGCGAAGAACCUUACCUGGUCUUGACAUCCACAGAACUUUCCAGAGAUGGAUUGGUGCCUUCGGGAACUGUGAGACAGGUGCUGCAUGGCUGUCGUCAGCUCGUGUUGUGAAAUGUUGGGUUAAGUCCCGCAACGAG